AAACCGCCUAGAGGUAAACGGGUGGAUCCGCAAAGUCGGCCCGUGGAAUUCAGCUCGGAAGGCCGCGCGCCUGCGUCGGGUCGGGGAUCUGAUAGGACCCUCCCGGCGNAGGACGCGCGUCGACCGUGUGCACUUUCCGCGGGCAGAGCGCCACGACCGGUUCUCGGGCGGUCAGAAGGCGGUGGGGAUGGUAGGCGUGCGUUUCGGCGCGCGCUGGUAUAGCCUCACCUGUCCCGAUCCGCUNGGGGACCGAGGAGCCGCCGUCGGCGUAGGCCGCCUCUUCUUCCCGGAGCGUUGGACCGGCAGAGACUGGGCAACCGUGUCUGCCGACCGCGUUCUUGGACAGGGGUGGGCCCGCCGACACAGGGUCGGUGGCGAAUCGGUCGGCCCUCCACCCGACCCGUCUUGAA
rnacentral:rRNA from 2 species